GUAGAAAGAGGGAAGUGCUCAUGCCAUUGUACAGAACACUGGUGAGACCUCACUUGGAGUAUUGUACACAGUACUGGAGACCGUAUCUUCAGAAGGAUAUUGAUACCUUAGAGAGGGUUCAGAGAAGGGCUACUAAACUGGUUCAUGGAUUGCGGGAUAAAACUUACCAGGAAAGGUUAAAGGAUCUUAACAUGUAUAACUUGGAGGAAAGACAAGACAGGGGGGAUAUGAUAGAAACAUUUAAAUACAUAAAGGGAAUCAACACAGUAAAGGAGGAGACUAUAUUUAAAAGAAG